rnacentral:snoRNA from 1 species
UGGCAACGAUGAUGACAGGAAUUGUCACUGCAUGUAAUGUCCCAUUACAGCGUGGAGACAGCAGUCCCUCUAAACUGACGUUGCCG